CAUCAACAUGACCUUCAUCAUCAUCUUCAUCUGGACUCUCACAGCGUUUGCUCAAGAGUGUAGAGGACAGAUCAGCGUCACUCAGAGUCCCUCAACGACAGCAGCUCAACCAGGAGAAACAGUCAAGAUCAGCUGUAGAACCAGCACAGAUGUGUUUUACAGUGGUGGUCCUUAUCAUUUUUUAGCCUGGUUCUUACAGAAAGCUGGAGAAGCUCCUAAACUCCUGAUUUAUGCUGCAAGCAGCCGUCAGCCAGGAACUCCAUCUAGAUUCAGUGGCAGUGGAUCUAAAAGUGAUUUCACUCUGACCAUCAGUGGAGUCCAGACUGAAGAUGCUGGACAUUAUUACUGUCAGAGUUUCCACUGCAGAGCAGAUUCCUAUGGUGGCUGUGCGGGUGGUAAUGUGUUCACACAGUGAUUGUGAGUCGUACAAAAACCUGUGUCAGUCAGAGUCACAGUGACUGAACUGAUGCUGCAGCUGAUCAAAGGAGGAUCUGAAACAACAUCAUAACACAUGCAUCUGAAAAUAAAAUGAAUCCUUCACUCUUAAUAAUGGAGGUCAAAGGUCAAAGCAUUAGUCAAGAGAAACAUCUAGACACGAGUCCAUCAGUGUCUCUGCAGAGUCUCUAUCAGACACACAAACACACAGACUCAGCCGUGUUGGUCUUUGAUUAUUAUUUUGUCCUUUACUUCUCUCACACUUUAAAAUUGUGUGU